rnacentral:lncRNA from 1 species
UGACCCUGCAGAACACUUCUUCUGAUGAUGUCGUGUCGUUCUUCUCGUCUUGUCGGCCUUCCGGUUGGUCCUCCGGUUGGUCUUCUUCCGACUGGAUCUUCAGCUUGGACACGAUGGGGGGAGUACCUGCGAAGACACUCCGACGAUCAAGUCAGACCGAGAGCUAGGUACCAGAAGAGUGGGGAGUGAAUAGUUACCUUGGGUGAUGUGCCUCUUCUGCUAUUUAUACUGCUCUAGGUGGGCUAUGGCCG